rnacentral:rRNA from 1 species
UACAGAGGUCUCGAGCGUUAGGCGGAAUCACUGGGCUUAAAGCGUGUGUAGGCGGAUCGUUAAGUGCCUUGUGAAAUCCCACGGCUCAACCGUGGAACUGCUUGGCAUACUGGCGGUCUUGAGCAACCUAGGGGCGAGCGGAACAAAUGGUGGAGCGGUGAAAUGCGUAGAUAUCAUUUGGAACGCCAAUGGUGAAAACAGGUAGCUGGGAGUGUGCUGACGCUGAGACACGAAAGCCAGGGGAGCGAACGGG